UUGCUUCAAUUGCCGGCGACCGGCGCACGGGUGCGUAACGCGUAUGUAACCUACCUUUCAGAGGGGGACAACAGUUGGAAACGACUGCUAAUACCGCAUGACACAUAGAUGUCGCAUGGCAUUUAUGUCAAAGAUUUAUCGCUGAAAGAUGGCCUCGCGUCUGAUUAGCUAGUUGGUGAGGUAACGGCCCACCAAGGCGACGAUCAGUAGCCGGACUGAGAGGUUGAACGGCCACAUUGGGACUGAGAUACGGCCCAGACUCC
rnacentral:rRNA from 1 species